rnacentral:lncRNA from 1 species
UUUCAAACAAAAUACAAUGAGCUGCUGAAAAAGCUAACUAUGAUUUGAGAGGCCGGGUAGUAUAUGGUAGAUCCUUGACAGGCCUCAAGGUAGCCUGCCAAAAAUUGAAAAUAAAAAAUGACUCAAGACUUUAGAAAUUCAUAUUUAGUCGCAGUCGACUAAUUUGUCCGCACAACCGUUAGCCAAGUCACAGAAAUUAAAGAAAAGCAUGCACUGUAAGUUAUCUGGCAGAAAAGAAAACAACAUCGAUAAGGAGGUUCUCACCAUGCUAGAUGAGGUGUGAAGCUUCUGUUACUCGAAUUCAACUUCUGGAAUAUGAGCGAUCUUGUGCUUGUCCUCUCCUUGGCACUUCUCUGACAGUGCUGGGCAGUCCGUGAUCCGCAGUUUCUUUAACUCAGUAAGACGCUGUAUGCUUUCUGGCAAUGAAGAUAGCAUUGGGCAUGAGACGAUUUGAAUUUCUCUCAAAGAAGUAAAAUCUCCCAGCCAUUCUGGCAGUGUCUCCAAGUCAUAACAGUCCUCUACGUUGAAUUCCCGGAGGGAGAUGAAACAUCGGAUAACCUCUGGCAAUGUUGUAAGACCCGUGAGGGGGCCAAGAGCAAGGUUGUCGAUAGAACAGAGAUACCGGGCCCUAUGCCACGCUUAAGGAGAAGGGGAUGUGCCCGCUAUCAAAAGGAAACAUGGAGAAGUGAUAGAUGAGAGGUUCCCAAACCCAUGUUCCGCAAAAACGUGAUCGCUAUUCUGUACCACCCAAGUCACGCUCCUUGGGGGAUAAGGCAGGAAUUUCAACUUUGGGCAAUUAGAAGCAAACAGCAGAUGUAAAUUAGGGAUUAAGAACUCUUCAUCUUCAUUAGACGUUCUCGUUGUCCACCACCCUGCCAAGUUGUCCAUUCCCUCCAAAAGAAUCAUUCUUAGCUUCCAGCAACUUCCGUGGUCCCCAUAAAAUUCCCUUUUGAGAUUGGGCAUACUAGCCAAGCACAAUGCUCUCAAAUUUGGCAGGCGCCCAAGUGGAGGGAGGUGGCUGCACCCUUUCAGAUUCAAAAGAACGAUGGUGGUAAGAUGAGGUGGGUAGGAAGGAAGGUCCAGCAUCCACCUAGAGAAGUCUACGCUCAUGUAACCAUCAAGACCAAGGUGUCGGAGAUUUCUAGGAGGCACAAGCUUCUCCAGCACCGAUUUGUCAACCGAUGCAUCUGCAUGCUCCACCAUACUACUUUGACCAUGUUGCCAUGAAAGAGACAGCCUCCUAAGAUUUGAGUUGUUGAACAGUUUAGCCUGGUCUGCCCCUUCCAGAUUCUUGACAUUCUGAAGAUCUUUGAUCUGCAGCUCAAGGCAGGGUGUCUUCUCGAGGUCCAAAAUUUGACUCCAUAGAUCACCACGUCCAUCAAGCUCACAUGACCUUUCCAGGUUUAGUUGUUUCCUAAGUUUAUCAACUUCAGAACGUAUAUCGAAUGUAAAAAAUCCUCUUUCGACAUGUACAAGUGUAGACAUGUUAAAAAUGCUAUCCGGCAAGCCAACAAGGAAAAAGCAGCCUUGGAAAUCCAAACUCUGAAGUCGUAAAACACCAAUAGAAGCAGGCAGAUGUCUAAGUUUUACACAGAACGACAAAUUUAGAUGCUUUAACAUCAUGAGUUUGCAUAGAGACUCGGGCAACAUUUGAACCUUGGAACAGCUUGUCAUGUUCAGAUACUCAAGCUUAGAAAGUUGAUCAAUACAAUCUGGGACCUUUUCAAGAUUAUGGCAAUCCGACAGCUCAAGAUGUGUUAGAUCAUGAAGUUGACAACAAGAUUCUGGUAGUGAGUGGAGUUUGUAGCAAUCGGAUAGGUUCAAAAACUGAAGCUUAUGCAACUUGCCAAAGGAUUCUGGAAGGGUAGGCAGUUCAUGGCAGCUUGCCAAGUUUAAGAAGAGCAAAGCACUGAGGUUACCGAAAGAGGUGGGAAGUUCAUGAAGGUUGACACAUCCUGAUAGGUCAAAGUAUUGCAGCUUUUGGAGGCAACCAACGUUUGUGGGCAGUGCCUUCAGAGAAGUGUUUGAAAGUAUCAAGGUUUGCAAGUUUAGGAGACGGUUCAAGGAUUUAGGAAAGUUUGGGAUAGGAAGGUUGGAAGCAUCAAGAUACCUUAAUAGCUUUAGUUUACAAACAGAACCCGGUAGCUCUGACACAUGGCAUCCACUCAAAUCCAAAACUCUCAGAUAUAAUGCGUGUGAGAAUGCUUGCUUAGGAAGAUGAAGUUUAUUGCAUUCCCUGAAAUGCAUGGCCCUAACCUUUGGUGGCAAAGACUUAGAGGAUGAAGACUCGUUACUAUUCAUCAAUAGCUGAUAGUGACAAAUCAAUUUGCCCGCCUUAGUAGUGCUGUUUGCCACACCAUUUGUGCAAGAUAAUUCAUCACCAGCAACAUGCCUUGCGAGAUCGUGUACCAUAUCAUGCAUACAAAGUCUAAGUGUGGGUUCAAAACUCCUUGAAGCCGGCACCUUGCAAAAGAAAAUAGAGCAUAGUUCAUAUCUUUUCAAGAUAAACAAUUGCAAUUUCGUAAUUACAAGUACGCUUACUGUAGGAGUCAAAUUUGUGAGGAAGGACAUUCCCAAGAAUUCAUUAACAUAUUCCCUACCAAUCUUCUGAAGCGUUGCCCAUUAGUAUCUUGAAUAAACCCCAAAGCAAUCCAUUGCUGGAUCAAACAAUCAUGAUCUAUAUCAUGGUUCCUAGGGAAGAUAGAGCAAUACAUGAAACAAAGUUGAAGUUGUGGAGGCAUGUGGUAAUAGCUUAGCAGCAAGCCCUUCAGAAUUCCUUUGUCAUCAUCCUUAAUAUCCAGUAUGUUACUAUUUUUAAUUUCUAACCAUUCUUCUCUUGUGCACUGCUUCUGCAUCACAUAACCAAGAGCCUUAGCAACCAGAGGUACUCCACUGCAUCGCUGUGCAAUAUCCUUUCCAAUGUCUACAAGGUCAGUAAGUUGACCAUUUCUGAGAUUACGAGGCUUCAUAAUAGACCAACAUUCAUCAAUUGACAUACUCUCCAGUUUAAUUGGGUCAACAAUCUGAAAAUAUGAAGAAUGUAUGGUAGUAGUAGAUACUAAACUAACAACCUUUUCACUACGGGUAGUGACUAUUAUAUUGCUACCUUUCAUUCCAGAUUGCAACAUGUUCAUCAGAUCCUCCAACUUAGACCUCUCUUCCUCCCAUAAAUCAUCUAAGACUAUAAGAUAAAUCUUGCCAUGGAGUAUGCGGUCAAGUUGAGAUUUUAGGUACUGCAGAUCAACAUCAUUAGCAGGAGUGCUACCCUCGACCUGAGAUAUAAUAGCAGACACAAUCUUAUUUAGCUGAAAGUCCAUCGAGACAUGAACCCAUGCUUUCACAUCAAACAUAUUUGUUUCCUUGUCAGUGUAAACAGCCUUUGCUAAUGUUGUCUUACCCAUUCCACCAAGGCCAACAACAGGAAUGAUAAAGCUUUCUUUCUCUCCAUUUUUCUGCAACACCUUAGUCAGUAUGUCUUUCUUCUCUCUUUCCCUUCCUAUCACCUCAAUUUCAUCUCUGUCACCAAUAAAGGUUUCUCUCCACUUCUUCUUACUAUCUUGGCUUGUUGGGGUAGGCAAUGUCAGAAAACGGAAUUUCGUCUGGUCCUCAACAAUCUUAUCUAGCAUCGCCCGGAUAUUUCUCAUCUUAUCUGACAUGGUGAUGCGCACAACGAGUGGAUUGAUUGAUGAGAAGAAAAAUUUAGCCUGCAGUAUUUUUGUAAGAUGGAAUCAGUGAAACAACCACAACAUAUAUCCUCAGAAGGCACGUGUUACUAAAAAUCUACCAAAAAGUUAGUAUAGUUUUAUGAAGUAGAUAUAACUCCUAACUAGAAAAUUAUUUUCUAUUUCUGGACAGUAGCAUGCAAGAAUUCCUAUGGAUUGCCAAAUUGUGGUCACCAACACUGACAAAAAAGUUGUGGUAGUGUCACAGUCACACCGCACAACAUUAUACUAAUUAAUCCUACAAGUGGAUCAAUGUUCCUAUUCUAUUUCUUUAUCGAUGAAUUGAGAAUUGAGAUGCGAAUUUCGUUAGUCAAUUGUGCUAGAAAAGAUUGUCUAUUCUAUGACCAUUUAAAUUAGGUACAGGAAUUAGGAUCUUUUUGGAAUGUGUGACUACAGUUCAAUGGACAAUUUAAAGCUCUAACCCAUUUUACUUUGUGCUUGAUUUGGUAACCUUUUGAGGAACAAAACUAAGCUGGGGCCCCUAGAAAUAAUAACAAAAAGAGUGAAUCAGACUGAAAUUAGAAUGCAGAAAUGUGUAAAGUUUCCAUGAAAUUUCAUGUAAUUUAUUCACACUAGCACUAUAAGUAUAUGCUGAUUAUAAUAUUAUUAAAUAGACCAUACAAUAUCCAGUACAGUAAUCAACUGUGACCUUGCAUUGGAGGGAUCAGGCUAAUUACAGAAUGGGCCCAAUAACCUUUUAUUCUGGAGAUAGAUUGCUCUUUGGCAAUCGACUUUAGUAGAGAGCAUAGCAAAGUAGCGAAGAGUUGGCAAGCUAGGAGGAACUACUGCUAUGUGGUUGAGGCAACAACACCUCGUGUGUUGUCUAACACCUGAACCAUGACUGUAACCCAAGUAAUAUGAAGCUCUCUUGUCCCUUAGAAACAUGGGAAAGGAAUCUGUAUUUAGCAUGCUGCAAUUAUUUUUAAUUUUUAAUUAUUAAAGCAUGUGAAUUCCCCCUUCAACAACUAGAAUUUUUUUUGGAAAAAGAAUAUUUGUUUGGUUUCCCUGCGCAAUUUUCCCAAGCCUUUCAAAUAAGCAAGGAAAUCCUCGUAAGCUAUGAAUGGGCAAGGGAAUAAAACCAUAGUUUAAAAUAGUCAGCUAUAGCCUCCGCUUUCUCCGGCUAUAGCGGAUCGAGAUGGGUGCAGCUAUUGCUCACGUGUGCAAUUCAUUGGCUAUAGCUCCAUCCAACAACCAAGUUUUUUAAAAAAAGAAUAAUUGUUUGGUCUCCCUGCACAACCUUUCCCAGCCUUUCAAGUGAGCAAGGAAAUCCUUUUAAGCUAUUGAAUUGGCAAGGGAAUAAAAUAUGAAAUAUGUGUCUACUUAAAAGGGAGCAAAUGCUAAACAGAAGAGAGGACGUGUGCCUGUGGGACACAGUGGAAGAAGGUAUGUAUGGUGGUUACAGGGCCCGGAUCUACUAUGUCAAACUUUUGUGCUUAACUCUCGUUAAAUCCGUGGAUCUCCCUGUAGGUUCAACUAGGCAAUCAACUGACUAGCAGGUGUUUCCACGAACCAGUGUCAUACGAUGAUUGCAAUUAGAUAAUUAAUUCAGAUAACUAUUUUCUCCAAGGAACAUAAUUUAGAUAAUAAUUAUCUGGUGGCUAAAAAAUUGUACAGAUCUAGCUCUGUGAGAGGCCUUAACAACUUUCCAUCAAAACUACGUGCGUAUAUGAUUGUUGGGUGUUCUGAGGGCUGUGUGUACGUAUAUGAUUUAGCAUAUCGUAGUCUAUUACUUCUUCACAAACAUAUGUAUAUGGAACAUUUUGAGAAAUAUGUAAAUGGAAUAAUUUUGACAAAUAUCAAAUGUUUUGUGGUGUCUGUUUACUGUGCACACCCACAGAUCCACGAGAAUACAUGUAGACGCUAACUGAAUAAAGAGUAACUGCUCUCCAUUAUCCUAAUAGCUAGAAUUAGUAGCAUGAGAAGACCCAGUGUCAUAGUACUUACCGUGCAUGUACUAUUUCUCCAUAUCAUUGCGUUCGCGCCCAACUCAUCCAGUGUGUCCUCCAUGUCAUAGGCAACAGAUUUGUACUUCUUGAGCCAGAGUCUCGCCAAUGCAUCCUCGGACUCCUGGGAGCGCUUCUCAGCAUUGUUAAGUGCAACCUGCAGGUUAAACAUUUUGUCCUUCAUCUCCUUGGCAUCAUUCUCAAAGUUCCAUAGCAGCUCGAUCCUCUCCCAGGCUUUGUCACCGAGCAUGCUGCCAACAUGCUGAAUCACGGCACUUGCGAUCAUGUCAGGUCCCCCACUCAUGGCUGCAGACUUGUGUUUUGCUCUCUCACAAACACAAGUGAUGUUGCUUUUGUGUACUUGAAAGCUCCUAUAUGAAGAACAUACGACAUGUUAUGCAGAUAUAUGCUGCUGCCCGUCUUCUAGUCAAGCUUUUUGCAUCCACAGAUACCUGAAGUGCAGUGCAGGUUCAGGACUUGGAAUCCCCGCCGAAAGCAAACUGCAUAAAUCCCUAGACUACACCGCAAGUCAUGGCCUUUGGUGAAAGUAAAAUAGGCGUGGUGCCUAUCCUGGAAAAGAGAACGUAUGGACAAAGUUAAAGAUAUGAACUUGAAAUAUUUAACUCAAAGAUGACAGAUUAUGAUUUCUUUGCUAAUGAAUUCGGGAGGAGGGAGAGAUGGGGAGAAUGACGGAGCAAACACUGCACGAGACAUAAAUCAUAAGAGAUGGAUGGAUUUUUCGGCUUCUGGCCAUGAGCUUGCUACAAGAACAUAUAAGACUGAUAUUCACGAGGGAGAACACUCUUGGACUGAAUGAAUACUGAAGAGUGCCACCCCUUGCUUCUAAAGAUGAAGAUGAUUUGUUAACAGUACACGGUUCACUUGUUCGAUUUCAAUAGGAACGCCAAGCGCGAUUGUUCGCCCCGUACCUUUAGCAUCGGCGACGUACGGCGGCCCGCCGUAGUUUCACCGCGUCCUUGCGGCAACACGAAGAUCAAUUUCGGCAACAGACGCGAGCGCCGCCUCCGAAGGGUUCCUGCCCCUGCCGGAGCCGCCGGACGACCAACGGCGUCCGCCUCCAGCGAAGCGGCCAAGGCCCUCCAUCCGCCUUAGCAACCGCCUCUCCACCGGCGGCAUCGCCCCACCGAGCCCCGCCCCCUCGACAUUCCCCAUCCACCUGCAGACCGAUGAAUGGGGAGUACUCUACCAACCCGGGGUCCUACUGAGGGCCCAAGGAAGGAACGCGAGGUCGAGCUCGUCGGAAGCGUCCGCCGCCGCGGUCGAUGGCGUCACUCUCGCGCUCGCCGUCGCUCGGUUCGGCCCCGCAGCGUCCGACGCCACCGGCGGCGAGCAGCAGCUGGGGCGGGUUUGGGUUUGGGCUUGGCAUCCGGCUUGGGUUUGGGCUUUUCAAUUCACACACGCGGAAAAAAAAAGGCUGAUCUCUUCAUGGGCUCAUGGCCUGUCUAACAUUAUUCUCCAAAAAAGGCUGAUAGUGCUCCAGCAGCAUAAUCUUGAGCCAGCCUUGGUGCUGCGGUAAAAGAAGUGGCGUGAAAUGUCAGUUAAAACAUGCGGUAUGAAAUAAUGUUUCUAAACCGAGACACUCUACUGUUUUAUACAGGUAAAAUAGCUAUUUUGGUCCCUCGGCCAAUCUAGUUUCUUAAUUUUUUUUAUCAAACAUAUCCUUGUGUGAGACUUCAUAUUAGCUUAAGAUUAAUGCGAAAAGUCAUGUUUGCCCUCGGCCUCUUCUUCCCGUCCUCAAUUAUCCAAAAUAAGUAUGAGCAUAUAUAUGUUUACCGAGAGAGUACAAAUACAUACAUGAAGUAUGUAUACAGUACCAUGAGUACUUUAAAUUAUGUGUACUAAGUUGUGUAUAUCAUGAAAGAAUAUCAGCACUUACAUUUUGUAUAUCAAAAUUUAAUCCGUGUGAACACAUGCAUGAUUUUAAAGAGCACGAGAACAUGUAAAACUAUAUUUUAUAUCAGUUAAAAAAUAUACUGUUGUCUGUAUGUAUUGAGAGAGCAUGAGCAUAUACAUGUUUGACCUACAUGAGCUAAGGGUAAAAUGGACUUUUCACAUUAGUCUCGUACUAAGAUAUAUAGCACCACAUCAGCAAAAUGAUGAGUUUGACCUUAAAACGAAAGUUGAGGGACCAAAUUAACCUAUCUGAAAGUUGAGGGGCCAACUUGACUUUUCGUGUAAAGUUCAGGGAUUAAAAUGAAGAAUGAGUUUGACCUAAACGGAAGUUAAAGUUGAGGGACGAACUUGACUUUUUGAUGUAAAGUUUAGGGACUAAAAUGUCUAUUUUGCCUUUUAUACACAGUUGUUAGUUCCCAGACCAUUUUGCCUCGACAAGCAAAACUAGCCAAGUCCAAGAUGGGCGAGGCGGUCAAGCUCAUCGGCUCCGGCAGCAGCCCCUUCGUGCACCGAGCCGCUGUGGCUCUGCGCCUCAAGGGCGUGCCCUACGAGUUCAUCCGCGAGGACAUGAGCAACAAGAGCGAUCUGCUUCUCCAGCACAACCCCGUCCACAAGAAGGUGCCCGUGCUCCUCCACGGCGGCCGCGCCGUGUGCGAGUCCCUCAUCAUCGUCGAGUACGUCGACGAGGCCUUCCCGGGGCCGCCGCUCCUCCCCGCCGACCCCCUACGACCGCGCCGCCGCCCGCUUCUGGGCGCACUUCCUCGACGACAAGUGCCUCAAGUCGUUGUGGCCGGCGCUGUGGACGGAGGGCGAGGCGCAGGCUGCGUCGAUGGCGGUGGCGAGGGAGAACUUGGCGAUACUUGAGGAGCAGCUCAGGGGGAAGAAGAAGAAGAGGUUCUUCGGCGGCGAUUCCAUCGGCCUCGUGGACAUAGCCGGGGUGCGCGUCCUGAGCGACGAGGAGCACCCGGCCCUGCGCCGCUGGGCGAACGAGUACCUCGCCGACGAAGCCGUCAAGGAGUGCCUGCCGGACAGGGACCAGCUUGUGGCCCACUUCUCCGCGAACAGGGACAAGUGCAUCUCGAUAGCCAAAUCCAUGCUGCCGCCGAAUUGAUGGAGUUGCUUGAAACAAUCGAUCGGCUUUGUAUUAUCGUGACGGUGACAUCUAUCUGCUGUUUCUUGAGUGUCAGAAAUAAAGGGCAACAGUGUUGCGAACUUGUUCUCUUAGGGGUGUUUGGAUACGAGGUGUUAAACUUUAACAGUGUCACAUCGAAUGUUUGGAUGCUAAUUAGGAAAACUAAAUAUGAGCUAAUUAUAAAACUAAUUGUAGAACCCUAUGCUAAUUCGCGAGACGAAUCUAUUAAGCCUAAUUAAUCCAUCAUUAGCAAAUGGUUACUUAGCACUACAUUGUCAAAUCAUGUACUAAUUAGGCUUAAUAGAUUCGUCUCGCGAAUUACACUCCAUCUAUGCAAUUAGUUUUAUAAUUAGCCUAUGUUUAAUACUCGUAAUUAGCAUUCAAACAUCCGAUGUGACGGGUGUUAAACUUUAACACUAGUGAGCCAAACAGGCCAGAGUGUUGUUUCCUGGCAGCUUCGUCCCUCCCGUCUUCCAUUAUUGGUCAAUUGACUCUCCUUUGUAGCGGUAUUCUAGUAGAAGCAAAGAAAUCGAUCAUCCACUUUUGACCUGUAUCCUCCUGCAGCAACGACUGAGGUUCUGUUGACCAAAAUACAUGUUGGAUGGGCACGUGUCGCAGCGCAGUUCCUAUAAAGCACCCACAGCAGUUCGAUCUGGCCAGAACAAUCCCCGAUCGAGCGCUUCAGUCGGUGUGUACGAGAACGGAGGCAAAGAUGACGACCGAACCGGUGACGCUCAUCGGCGCUUUCGGCAGCCCGUUCGUGCACCGCGUCGAGGUGGCCCUGCGCCUCAAAGGAGUCCCCUACGAGCUCAUCCUGGAGGACAUGAGCAACAAGAGCGAGCUGCUCCUGAAGCACAACCCCGUGCACAAGAAGGUGCCCGUCCUCCUCCACGGCGACAGGGCCGUCUCCGAGUCGCUCGUCAUCGUCGAGUACGUCGACGAGGCCUUCGACGGGCCGCCCCUCCUGCCGGCCGACCCCUACGAGAGAGCCCUGACGCGCUUCUGGGCUCACUUCCUGGAGGAGAAGGUGAUUAAUCGAUAGUACCCGCUACUGCACCUUCAGUUGCAACAUCGCGCCAUUCUCAUUUAACCAAUUAACCCUGCCGAGCAAAUCAAAUUGACAGUGCCUACAGCCGCUCCGGGCGGCGCUGUUCGCGGACGGCGAGGUGCAGCAGGUGGCAAUGAAAGAGGCGAGGGAGAGCCUUGCAGUAGUGGAGGAGCAGCUCAGGGGGAAGAGGUUCAUGGGAGGAGAAGCCAUCGGCCUCGCGGACAUAGCCGCCGGCGGCCUGCUGGGGCACUGGCUUGGUGUGCUCGAGGAGGUCGCCGGAGUGCGUGUCCUCAGCGAUGAGGAGGAAUACCCGGCUCUGCGCCGGUGGGCGGCGGAGUACAGCUCCAGUGAAGCGGUGAAGGAGUGCCUGCCGGACAGGGCCCGGCUUCUCUCCUACUUCGGCGCCAUCAGGGAGAAGUGCGUCUUGGUGGCCAACUCGACGCUGCCCAAAUAAACAUUGAGCUCAUCAUCAUCGUCAUCUAGUAAUGCUUUAGCAUGUUUGGUUGCCCGUCACCGUCACCGCCUGCCACCUCCCCGCCCCACCCCGCCGGCCACCUCCUCCCGCCUCCCCCGGCGGCUCCCUGGCUCCCCGCCGGCCCCGCGCGCCUCCCCGCCGCCCCGCCGUGCUAGAUCUGCUGUGGGGAGAGAAGAGAGGAAGGAGAGAGGAGUGGAAGUCCUCUCUGUGCCGCUCUGUGCUGUACUGCUGUGCCGCUGUGCGCUGUACUUAAAAAAUCUCUUAAGACCCGUUAGGUUACUUUUGCUUAUUUUUAAGCACGUGUCAUAUUGAAUAUUUAAAUACGUAUUAAACAUAGACUAUUUACAAAACUCAUUACAUAAGUGGAGGUUAAACGGCGAGACGAAUCUAUUAAGCCUAAUUAAAUCUAAUUAAUCCAUCAUUAGCAAAUAUUUACUGUAGCAACAUAUUGUCAAAUCAUGGACUAUAUAGGCUUAUUAGAUUCGCCUCGCCGUUUAGCCUCUACUUAUGUAAUUGGUUUGUAAAUAGUCUAUGUUUAAUACUUCUAAUUAGUAUCCAAACACGGAUGCUAAAAAUAAGCAAAAAAAACCAAACCAGGUCUAAAUCCUCUCGCGGGAGGGGCUCGAACCGGUAGCAGAGGUCGGGUUCCAUCCGCAUCCGGCGCUAGAGGGUCGUCGAGGACUUCCAACUUUAGAACUAAUACUAAUGCUGUUAAUAUUAGUAUCAAGUUCAAAAAUAAUCGGUACUAAAAAGGACGAAAGAUAGCUAAGGAUGAAAGAUAGUAGCCGGUCCAUCGAAUGUCUCGUCGAUGUACUCAAGGAUGACGAGGGACUCGCAGAUGGUGCGGUCGCCAUGGAGGAGCACGGGGCCUUCUCGUGGAUGGGGUUGUGCGUGGGGGCUCUUGUUCUCCAGGUCUUCGAGGAUGAGCUCGUAAGGCACGCCCUAUGGAAGAAUAUAACUCGAUAAUAUAACCGAGUACUUAUAAGUACGAAGUGAUUAGUUUAAGAUUAAAAAUGAUUCAGAAAAAAAAUAGCUAGAGCCUAAUCGCCGCCUUGCUCGGCGCGGUGCCGUGAGUCCAUGCGCCCCACGGUCGUCGCAAGGGGAACUGGGAAGGGGCUCUCCGGUCGUCCGGCGUCCGUGAUGCCGCGCGCCCGCGCCAAAAAGCCUCGCCGGAGGGAGCGGAUGGCCGGAGCACGAUGAUUGACCGUCAUUUUCAUCUCCGGAGGUCGAACACAAUUAUUUGGGCAUCUGAACAUGGAAGAGGAAAAAAAUGGCAAGAAGCUCAAUCUUCCGGGACAAGCAGCUGGCAGCCAUGAAAUCCUAAGGGCAUGUACAAGCCACAGACAGUUUGUCGUCUGGAUGAUGAUGUCACACCAUAUAAAGACAUCUAAAUAGACAACGUGUACAAUCCAUUGUUUGUUUGAUUGUCUGUUAAGUCUUUAAUGUCCGUAUGUAGCCACGGUCAAUCGUAAAUAAGACUUGUGUAUACUAUUGUAAAUAAGACUUGUGUAUACUAUUGUGUUGCUUGUUGAAAAAAGAAAGAUCAAGCAUAAAUAAGAUGCUUUUGGAAACAUAAAUAUAAAAGAUAUUUGAAUAUAUUUAUAUUAAUGUAAUAGAACAAAAUACUAGAGUAGGCCUCUACGAUAGCGUGCCCCACGUCCUGCAUAUGUACACAGCAGUCAUUCUUCAAUCCAUGUUCAGAGUUACCUCAUUUUAGACCUAUCGAACAUCUUCCACAUUAUUCAGAAUCAGCAAAAGUCUGUACUUAACAAAUAAAUAAGUUAGGUGGAUACUUGCCUUUGGGAGGGCAUCCAUAACAGCUGCAGGAAUAGGCAUAUGGAAUAGGACUUGUUCAUUGAAGGAUUUUGCAGCUUUGAGGAUCUGAUGAACAAGCUUAGCCUGAAAUUGUUGAGAACUCAUGCUGAAAUUAUUCAGCAACUAGAUCCAUGAGUUUUGAGUGAUUACCAAGGUGCAUCCUAAGCUGCUAAACGUCCAAAUCCAAUGCAAGAGGGAUCAUUGCCGGCUGCAUCCCACCAAGCUAGGGACGUUGAAGGGGGAACGUGCGGUGGCGGCGCGUCCCUGCUAGCAGCAGCGGUGCAGUCUGGCGCGGCGUGCGGUGGCGGCGCCUCGCGCCAGCAGCCUCAGCACAGCCAUGGCGCACGAGAGGGGGCCGAUUCGGCACCUGCGGAGCUCGAUUCGGAGCUCGAAUCGACAGCGGCAGAGGUCGACUCGGCGGCUGCGAAGCUCGAUUCAGCGCCUGCGGAGGUUGAAUCGGCGGUGGAGGAGCUCCUCCUGGCGGCCCGCGUGAGCACGCGAGCAGCUUGCUCGAUGCAGGAGAGCAGCCUAGCGGCCAGCUGGGCAAGCUGCCGGGCAAAGUGGUGAGGUGAGCAAUACCAAGCGGCUUGCCUUGCUUGGCGUGGGACAACGGAUCCACGUCGCCAUCAAUUUGACCUUCGCGCGGGGAAAGCAAGGACGCGGGGAGGGGAGGUGGAGAUGGAUUUGGCGCGCAAAAAUCCUGCGCGCGCCCAAAUCAACUGCUGUCCGCACGGGAUUCGAGCGUGCGGUUGACCGUCGGAGACGAGGCUAUACAACAGUGCUGUGGUGUCUAUUCCCGCCUCGGAGCAUGGAUGCGGCCGCCGUCUCACGAGGCUGAGAGGAGGUUGUUUUUGCAAAAAUACCGGCUCGCAGACGGCUCCUAGACACCCGUUGUAUCGUGCCCUAAAAGCUCAAUCUUCCGGGACAAGCAGGUGGCUGCAACAAGUUAAAAUCCUUUAAUCACAGUGCCACCGACAGCCGUGUGUUCAUCCCUAAGGGUACUUUUAACAGUUUAGACGGCUGCCGUCUGUAAGUCAUAUAUAGACAGUGAAACCGACAGCUUGUACAAUGAUGUGUUUUUUAAGUUAUUUGCAAGUUAUUUAAUUCAUUCAAAUCAAGGUGAUCAGGUAUAAAUAUGAUCUAUGUAUGCCAUUUUGUUGCUUGUUCACUCAAUACAAUGCAUGCUACCCCAUAUUAUGGACACAUAAAUUUGACAUAGAAGCAUAAAUAUAAUAUAUAUUUAUAAUAAUUGAUCUUUGCAAUACAUAAUACGAUAAUAUUAUGACUUCCGCUUGGGGACCUUCAACAAACGAUUCCUUUGUGUUAGAUAAUUCCAUGUGCUCUUUCUGUGAGGUGAAUGUAGCUCUCUCUUUUUCCAGAGCUAAAGCACUUUCUUCCCUUUCACUUCUAUCUUUAUCAGUAGCAUUCACAUUUUGAGUACCACCAGCACCUCCUUGGCACACACCACCUGUGCAAGGGCUACAAGUUUCAAUUUUAUCAGUAAAUUUGGCAAUUGCAGGUCCAUACUAAACAUGAGUCCUAGGACAAGCUACUCUACCUGAAAUUGGAAGUAGGAUCUUCGAGGUUACUCGGUGGAUCCGGAAGUAUAAAACAGUGCCCAGUUGCCAGUUGGAGAGCAGGAGAUAUUUCUGAUAUAGCUCUCAGUGAAUUACAACAUGAAGGAUUAGCAUCUGCUUUCUUGAAAGUUUUUUCACCUGGAUUCAUGGUAUCCUCUUUAGCAGAAACGCUUUGGUCAGCUAAUUUUGUUCCUGUUUCUGAAGAAUUAGCAUCUGCUUUCUUGAAAGUUUUUCCAUCAGUGCUCUCUUUUCCUUCUGCAUUGUCAUCUACAUCCAUUUCCUCAGGCACAUCAAAAGUGCCAGUUUGGCAAAUCCUGUGUAAUCUUCUGAGGUGUUUCACUGAAUUCUUUACCAUCUAGAAAGGAAUCGAAAAUUGGCAUUUGGAGGAAGUAUAGCAUGCACUGUUCUUUUGUUUUUGUAACAACAUGCUCAGCAAUCUCAUCCCAUUCUUUUCCUUUAAAAAUUUCUAACGCUUCCAAAAGAAGCAAUGUCUCCUGGUCAGUCCAGUUAGAACCACCUGAGCCCGGAACCUCUGUAUAUUCCAUAAGGAUGAAAUCAGCAUUUGACAUGCCUUCGUCAAACUUUCCUACAUGUGAAUCUCGACAAGAAGAGUCACGGCUCACCUCUUCCCCUCUGUUCGCCCGCCGGCGGCGCGUCAUCUUCAGUCCCCGGUCGGGAGCAGCCCCAGAUGAUGUGGAGCCGCAGCGACGACGCGUAGGCGCUACUCUUCGGCAGCGGCGCAAGCUCGUGUCGAUGUGGAGACGGAGAGAAGGGAGUCGCGGAUCUGGAGGCCGGAGGGGAGCUUGCGACGGGGGAUUUCGAUCUGCUCUCGCAGGAGGGGGCCUCGCCUCCGGUGACGCCGCGGAGAUGGAGGAGGCGUGGCGCGGCGGCAGCCCAGCUAUCCGGCCUCACCUCCCGUCGGCGUCCCGCGCGGAGGGAGGAGGUGUGGCGCGACGGCGGCCCAGCUAUCCGGCCUCGCCUCCCAUCGGCGUCCCGUGCAGAGGGAGGGAAGUGGUUGGAAUCGGUUGGAGCAGCGCGGGCUGAUUUUGCACUCGAUCCGGAGGUGCGCCGAUGGAUCGUACAACGGCGCCUGGAGGUCGUCGCCAGGUGUUAGAGCAUGCGAGACGACGGCGCGCCCGUCGCUUGGCUCAAAUGAGGACGUUUUUGCAAAAACGCCAGCUCGCAGACGGCUCACAGUCGCCCGUUGUACGUGCCCUAAUGAGUAUCGAACGAGCCAUUACCAUUAGCAGUCAACACUCAACAGUUUAGUUUCCCUAGGAAGGAUAGCGCUUCUUCGGCGGCGACGACUCCAUCGGCCUCGUCGACAUCGCCGCCAGCAACGUGGCUCACUGGCUCGGGGUCAUGGAGGAGGUCGGCGGGGUGACGCCGCUGCUCACGGACGAGGAGUACCCCGCGCUGUGCCAGUGGGCGAAGCGCUACGCCGGCGACGAGACCGUGAAGCAGUGCCUGCCCAAGAGGGACGAGCUCUUUGCCAUGUACUCUGGGUUCAAGGAGAUGUUCCAGGCCAUGGCGACGUCGCAAAAUCAGUGACAUGUUUCAGUGCCAAAAAAAAGUGUGCUGCGGACGUGUUAGUAACGAUCAAGAUGUUCUUCGAUUGGAAUAAGAAGGCGAUUAUCAGUUAUCAUCAUAGUCGUUUUCUUUAGCACGACUCUUCUCCUGCUCAGAGCUUCGGCUGUGACUUUUCCGGUGGAAUGAUGUUUUAGCUACAACUUGUCUGGUUAGAAAAAUAUUUGGUAAAACGGCUUCUUCUAACGGCGUAACAUGGAUAAAAAUAAUGAAAUAUCUAUAAUACAUUUAUCAUUUUAUUUUUCUUUUUUCUUCCAAUUUUUUCUCAUCUCUUUUGGCCUGUUCGCUUCAGUUUAUAAGCCGGUUGAAAAGCUAAAACGACUUAUUUGUUGUGAGAGAAAAAUACUGUUUGGUGGCUGAUAAGCCGACUAAAUAAGCUGAAGCGAACAGACCGUUUAUUCCCCUUCACUUUUUUCUUUUUUAUUUCUCCUCUUAUCUUCUCCUCCUAUUCUUUUCCCUAUCAUCACCUUCCUACCAGCGCCGCUCCGCUCCCUGCCAGCGCCGCCGGCGUCCUCCGCCCCCGCGCGCCCACUCUACCGCCUUCCAAACCCCCACGACCGCACCGUCGCCACCUUUGGGCGUCGCGCCGCUCCAACCUCCUGCAUCCGUGCCGCCACCAUCCGGCCUCCCCGCGCCCACUCUGACGGCGUCCUCCGGCCUCCUCACGCAAGCUGGGGACUUUUAGCAUCCACACCCAGGGGCAAGCUGGAACUUUGCCCCGCACGAAGGAGAUGAAGCCGCAGGGAGCUGAUAUUUUAGGCUUCUCCUUCCUCUCCUAGCUCCUCUCAGAGGGAAUUGCGGGACUCCUCCCAUGGAGCCGUUUCGUGAGCGGUUGUUUGGCACGACUUUUUUAGAAGUCGGUGGAGAAGCCGUUCAAGAAGCCUUGCCAAAGGGACCUAGGGACGAUCAACACUGGUGUUUAACUAUUUGUGUUUCUUCUCCGCCGUCAGAUCUGCGUGUACUGUGAUCAGGCCCGUUCCUUUCUUUUGACCAGUCAACGACGCCCGCCACAGCCUUCUUCCCCGUUCGCUCGCAGUCGGAGACUCAGGAGAUUUAAUUAUUUAACACUUUUACAAAGGCCACACCUUCAUUUGCCAGUUUUAGAAUAGCUUCUACACUUUUGCCACCGCCUAACAUUUGAGCCAACAUAUUUGCCACUUUAUCCUACGUGGCACGACACCUCCUCCCUCCAGCGCGGAUAGGCAUGGGAAAUGACCAUCGUACCCUCACUUAUCCGUUACGCUCCUCCCAGAUCCGACGCCUGGGAUGUGCCAGUCGAUGGUCGGCGACCUGCUGGUAGUUGCCGCCGAUGAAGACGUCGCCGUAGAUGAGGCCGGCGAGGCCACCACCGAUGAGCGGGCCGACCCAGUAGACCCAGUUGCCGGCGAAGUUGCCAGCGGCGACGGCGGGGUCGAAGGAGCGGGCGGGGUUCACGGAGCCGCCGCUGAAGGGGCCGGCGGCAAGGAUGUUGGCACCGACGAUGAAGCCGAUGGAGAUGGGGGCGAUGGUGCCGAGGGAGCCCUUCUUGGGGUCGGCGGCGGUGGCGUACACGGUGUACAGGAGCGCGAAGGUGAUGAUGAUCUCGAACACCACGCCCUCCAGCUCGCUGAUGCCGGCGACGCCGUGGGUCGGGAUGGCCUUGCCGUGGGUCACGAACUUGAGGAGUAGGCAGGCCACGGAGGCGCCGAGCAGCUGGGCGACCCAGUAGAAGAGGCCGGUGAGGAUGGUGAUGUGGCCGCCGACGGCGAGGCCGAAUGUCACGGCGGGGUUGAGGUGGCCGACGGAGAUGUUGGCGGCGACGGAGACGCCGACGAAGAGGGCCAGCGCGUGGGUGAACGCGAUCGCCACCAGGCCGGAAGCGUCGAGCGCGCCGCCAUGGCUCAGCUGCCCUGCACGUACACGCACGGCAAGUAAUCGAUUGAUCAGCACGCGGAGUCAAAGUGCCUCGAGAUCGACGGAACAGCAGACCUCACCGUAGGUGAUGGCGGAACCGACGCCGGCGAAGACGAAGAGGAGGGUGGCGAUGAACUCGGCCACGUAGGCCAUCUCUCUCCAUUUUCCUGUUGCGUGUGCUGCACCACUAUAUUUAGAGUCGGAUCCUCACUUGUUAGCUCCAGAUAACUGAUCAAAUGCACUAUGGAUUCAAGAUAAAAUGCAUGAAUUCAUCGACACAGUUAACACAUACAACCAAAAAGAUACUCUAUGUAACGCAAAUUGCAGGUCAGGAUGAAAGUACAGCCGAAAUGAAACUGUACCUUAUGCUUUACACAGGCAAGAACAUUUCGACGACACUUUCAACUUAUGAGGUGGUGGUGCCACGUCGGACCAGGGUGGACGUCCGUGGCGCCACUCCCGGUGGCAGGCGGUGCCAUGCUGAGUACAGUGACGCCGUGCACAACGUCACGGUCAGGUGGUCCGACGUGUUCCUCCCGUUCCCCCCGAUAGUUCGACGAGGCCAUGAACAGGUUCUCCUUGCGCUCUGCAAAACAUGGCGUCAUUACCAAAUAGCACUACCUGGCUGAGCUGAUUAGUCAUGCGUGAACUGAACUCACAUGCAAGGGAAACAUGACCGGCGUGACGAGCGUGCCGCCGCUGGGCGGCGGUUGAGCCUUCGAGCUGUUCUACAACGGUUCUUGAAGUGGCCGAUCAGCUAAGACCCUGGAGAGAGCAACCUGAUGGUGGCCCGUCUGAUUAAUUUCAUGAAUGGAAGGGCGUACUUGUUAGCUUCAGAUGAAAGGCUCAGGAUCAAAUAGAUGAAUUCAUCACCGAAGUUACAUUAAUUGAUACGGCCGGAAAAAAAAACUCUUAACCAAUUUCAUGCAGGCAACGAUAUAAUUAAAGAGACUACGAUCAAGAGAAAAAUCUUGGUAAACCGUACCUACCUGAUGCUUUACACAGGCAACGACGUUUGGACGAAGAUACCCGGCUCUCCUUGUAUACAUAAUGCAUACGGAAUUUGAACAGCUAACCAUCAUUUCAAACAAAAUACAAUGAGCUGCUGAAAAGCUAACUAUGAUUUGAGAGGCCGGGUAGUAUAUGGUAGAUCCUUGACAGGCCUUAAGGUAGCCUGCCAAAAAUUGAAAAUAAAAAAUGACUCGAGACUCUAGAGAUUCAUAUUUAGUCGCGAUCGACUAAUUUGUCCGCACAACCGUUAGCCAAGUCACAGAAAUUAAAGAAAAGCAUGCACUGUAAGUUAUCUAGCAGAAAAGAAAACAACAUCGAUAAGGAGGUUCUC